GACAGAGGGUGCAACCGUUGUUCGGAAUUACUGGGCGUAAAGCGUGUGUAGGCGGUCUGCUAAGUCGGGUGUGAAAGCCCUGGGCUCAACCCAGGAAGUGCACUCGAAACUGGCAGGCUAGAGUACUGGAGAGGUUGGUGGAAUUCUCGGUGUAGAGGUGAAAUUCGUAGAUAUCAUCAGGAACACCGGUGGCGAAAGCGGCUUACUGGGUCUCGUCUGACGCUGAGAAACGAAAGCUAGGGUAGCGAAGGGG
rnacentral:rRNA from 1 species